GGCAGGCUUGACAUAAUGGAUCAAGAAUCAACGUGCAAAUAUCCAGCAGACACCGGUUUGUUUAACACUUGCCCUUCCUCGUGUGUCACCUGUGAGUUGGCCCUGAUUCCUGAUUGUCUCCACCUGUGCCCCAUUACUCUCGAUGUGCUUAAAUAGUUUGGCUCCCUUGGCUGGUGCCAGAGUGUCUUUGUCCGUUUGGUCGAUUCGCCCAAUCAUGUCUUCAGCACGGCCUUUUGUCACAGCCCUUGUUGCAAGUAUACCUUUCUUUGAAACUUGAGAUGAGUGAUUUUUUUCAUUUUAUAUUUAUUUUUUUUAAUUGAAUUUAUAUAGCUUUGUUUGCUUCUUGCCGUUUGCCUUUGUUGACAGCCUUUUGUAUUCCUCCUUUGGUGUGAUUUUGAUUUUGUUGUUUACAUUUCAUAGCACUUGGUUUUUCCUCACUCGGGAGAGUUUUUUUCUUGUUUUGUUAUUUUGUUCUCUGUGAGGAUAGAGACCUCUCCUUGGAGAGCCAGGUUCUUCUGCCUGACUUCUUGAGUCCUUUUGUGGCUGAUUUUGUUUUGUCAGUUUGAUAAGAGUUCAUCAGUGAAUGCAAUAAAACCCACUCUCUCCAGUG